rnacentral:rRNA from 1 species
GACGAAUGCUGGCUGCGUGCUUAACACAUGCAAGUCGAACGGUGAAAGGGAGCUUGCUCCCUGGAUCAGUGGCGAACGGGUGAGUAACACGUGGGCAACCUGCCCCUCACUCUGGGAUAACUCCGGGAAACCGGGGCUAAUACCGGAUACGACCUGGUGCGACAUCGCACCGGGUGGAAAGAACUUCGGUGAGGGAUGGGCCCGCGGCCUAUCAGCUUGUUGGUGGGGUAACGGCCGACCAAGGCGACGACGGGUAGCCGGCCCGAGAGGGCGACCGGGCACCCGGGGACUGGGACACGGACCAGACUCCUACGGGGGGCAGCAGUGGGGAAUAUUGCGCAAUGGGCGAAAGCCUGACGGAGCGACGCAGCGUGGGGGACGAAGGCCUUCGGGUUGUAAACCUCUUUCAGCGGGGACGAAGCGAAAGUGACGGUACCCGCAGAAGAAGCACCGGCUAACUACGUGCCAGCCGCCGCCGUAACAC